GUAUAUGAGGUGAUUAAUUGGAGGGCAAAUCAAGUGCCAGCAGCCGCGGUAAUACUUGUUCCAAGAGUGUGUAUGGUGAUUGAUGCAGUUAAAAAGUCCGUAGUUUAUUUUUUUAAGAAGCAAUAUGAGGUGUACUGUAUAGUUGGGAGAAAGAUGAAAUGUGACGACCCUGACUGGACGAACAGAAGCGAAAGCUGUACACUUGUAUGUAUUUUUUGAACAAGGACGUAAGCUGGAGGAGCGAAGAUGAUUAGAUACCAUUGUAGUUCCAGCAGUAAACUAUGCCGACGAUGUGAUAUGAAAAUGUUAAUUUGUAUUACAUAAUAGAAAUUUGAGUUUUUUGGCUCUGGGGAUAGUAUGAUCGCAAGAUUGAAAAUUAAAGAAAUUGACGGAAGAAUACCACAAGAAGUGGAUUGUGCGGCUUAAUUUGACUCAACGCGAGGUAACUUACCAAUAUUUUAUUAUUUUGAGAGAACGGUUUUUGUUUGAGAAUGAUAAUAGUGGUGCAUGGCCGUUUUCAAUGGAUGCUGUGAAGUUUUGAUUAAUUUCAACAAGACGUGAGACCCUUAUUUUUUAUUAAAGACAGACACAAUCAGUGUAGGAAGGAAAGGAUUAGAACAGGUCCGUUAUGCCCUCUGACAUUUUGGGCUGCACGCGCAAUACAAUAGAUA
rnacentral:rRNA from 1 species